AGAGUUUGAUCCUGGCUCAGGACGAACGCUGGCGGCGUGCUUAACACAUGCAAGUCGAGCGAGGGGAAUUCUUCGGAAUGAACCUAGCGGCGGACGGGUGAGUAACACGUGAGUAACCUGCCCUAUGGAGGGGGAUAACACAGAGAAAUUUGUGCUAAUACCGCAUAACACUGAUGCUUCGCAUGGAGUGUCAGUCAAAGAUUUAUCGCCAUAGGAUGGACUCGCGGCGCAUUAGCUAGUUGGUGAGGUAACGGCUCACCAAGGCGGCGAUGCGUAGCCGACCUGAGAGGGUGAUCGGCCACAUUGGAACUGAGACACGGUCCAGACUCCUACGGGAGGCAGCAGUGGGGAAUAUUGCACAAUGGAGGAAACUCUGAUGCAGCAACGCCGCGUGGAGGAUGACGCAUUUCGGUGUGUAAACUCCUUUUAAGAGGGAAGAUAAUGACGGUACCUCUWGAAUAAGCMCCGGCUAACUYCGUGCCAGCAGCCGCGGUAA
rnacentral:rRNA from 1 species